AUACUCAAACCCCAACCCCUGCCCGCCCCAGCCAGGAGGGGAGACGGUUGGGAGUGGGAGGCCUCGGCGCUGUUCUCUGGAUGCAACUGAGAUUGCCGCUAGAGGGUGACGCCUGGGUCGGAAUCCAAGGAUUUGUGAAGAGGUGACCCAAAUUUCAAGACAAUGUUGGAUGCAAACGGAUUUGCCAGCAACUGCAUCACUGUCAAAACCAGCUCUGCCCGUGUCUUCCGAAGAUACCAAGUGAAAUACAUGUAGAUGGGAUUUACAUCUGAAAAACCAAGUGAGAAACUGAAGACCAGAGAGGGUGAGUGGUUUACUCAGUUUGGCACAACUGACCCCAACCUAGCCCUCCAUGAGGACUGAGCGCAUGAGAGAUCCUGAGCCACAGCCGCCCAGCCCUGCUCCUCUCGAAUUUCUGACCUACAGGAACUGCAAGAAGUAAUGAAAGACUGCUGUUUAAAGCCACUGCAUUUUGGCAUGAUUUGUUAUGCAGUCGUAGAUAACCAGAAAACAUCGGAUUUACAUUUUAAGGAAACAGAGAAGCAAAGAAGUUAGCAAGCUUGUUUUGGCAGAAGAAAAAACACAAAAUACCCAACCACAGAUCCUCAAAAAUAUUGCUAAGCACUAAUUUUGCUAACAUGUUAGACAGCCUUCGGAUCUAGGCAAUCUUGUUCCUCAGCUGGAAAGAGUUCCUGCCAGCCAUGUGAUUCCAAAUCCACCCUGGACAUAUGGGGAUAAUGAGAAAAUCAGCUCCGGCCUUCCCUGGCCUUCCAGCCAAGUGAAUGGGGGCAUCCCCUGGUGCUUCAGCCCGGGGCCCACCCAGAGGAUGCUAGCUGGCCUGCAGAGGCCUCAACCAUGCCCUCCUGGACUCAGGUAAGACUGAGGUUUCCAUGCCCUCAAAACAAUUGUUCAGACAAAAACUCACUGCCCAGGUCAAAGUCACAGCACCAGAAAGCCAACCUGAGGAUGAAGACAAAGCUCUUUGUUGGCACAGUCCCCUGAUCAUUCGAGGUCAGCAUCUCCAUCAAAAUGGACCCAAUGCUGAGGCAAGAAGGAGAACAUCACUGUUAAGAAGGUAAUGAGUCACAAAUGCUAUUUCGAUGGUUUUCUUUGAAAGAAAUACACAGAACCAAACCAAUUUUAAUUAAAGAUCUUGUCUUUGUAAUCAGGCAGCCACAAAUGAAGGCAAAACUGCUUUCAUGUGGCAUAAUAUACACAGAGCUGAACUAGUUUUCCCAUAAAAGGGCAGGUUCUUUUCUUCAAAUAAGAAAAGAGUUUGUUCCUAACAAUAUGGGGGAUGCAACAGAAAGCUGUCUUUUGCAAAGUAUAAAAUUGCAGAUCCUCCCGUGGAAGCCAUUUCUUGAUGCUAAACCAAUGCGAACGUUUGCCAAACGCACAUGCGAGCCGGGAUUAUCCUACCCUUUGAGAUUAGACAUGUGAUCCUGAUUUUUAAGUGAAAAACGCAGCCAGAGGCCAAAUAAACAUACCUACAAGUACAUCGAAAGCUCAAAUGGUUGAGAAAUGAUUGUAACACACCCCGGUGUGUAUUUCUGAGGAAGAAUCAACAUGCACAUGGAAAUUGAUGUUUUGAUUUUUAAUUUUAAAACGACGACAGAACUGAAAUACCUCCCCUAACUAGGUCCACUGAAACCAGUGAGGAGAUAAUCAUUUUCAGUUAAAUAUGCAUGUAAUUUAAUAAUCCACAGAUGGAAAAUGCAUUUGAGGUGGACUGAACACAGCCAGGAGUUUUUGCUUAUCGACAGCACUGAAUCCUGCCUUGACUAGAGAGACUCGUCAUGUGAUCAACUGUGGCCAGAGGGCAUCCUGCAGACAGCUCCUGUCACACCACACUGACCAGACUCUUAUGAGUAUUUAAGCAUCUUCAGGGAAGCGAUUGACUGUCUUAUAAUGGUCUUACAAGUACGGAACUUUAUUACCUGCUAAUAAUCAGAGCACAUGAUGGCACAAUAGAAUAUACGAGUGAAGUUCUAAAUGCAAGGUUGUUCUUAUUCUGUGAGUGGCAAAACUCAUGCAGUGAGCAGAUAAAGCUGGCAGGAGGCAUUGGCGCCCUAAUGCUGGGCACUAACCACCUGCCCGGACUGCGAAUAUCUGUUGGGUCCUUUCUAUAUCUGGUCUAUUCUCGUGUUUGAUUAUAUCCUGGUGGCAAGAAUAGCAAAAUCAACUCUCCUUCCUAUCCCAUGUGGAGAGGCAUGAUUUGAGUCAGAGAGCAUUAUCCUCUCUGCGUUAUCCAACCCCAUGUCCCAUGAUGCACUUUGUAGACAAGCAAGUGUCCCUGGUGGAGAAUCCACAGCCACACAUCCUCAUUGGUUGCAAGGAUCAGUGUCCAAUAUCUACUGCCAUGAUCAUUCUCAGUUUUACAUCCACAGAGCUUCAUAGAAUUCUAACACCACAGGUCCAAGUAGAGGUUUUGGCCUCAGAGUGGGCUAGAUUCCACCUCUGACAGCAGCUGUGGGACUGUUUUUCCAUCUGUAAAAUGGAGACAAGAGUAUCACCUACCUCAUGGUGUUGGUGGGAUCGUUAAACAGAAUUCCGAUCAUGAAACCCUUAGCCUGCUCCCUGCAUAGGCUGCAUGCGCUCAGUGAGCUAUGGCUCUGUUUCAUGCUGACUUUACCAUCAUGUAAGCAGUUUUAAAAAUGCUAGAAGCUUUAGUCAUAGAAUUACCAUAUGAUACAGCCUACUGCAGAGUCCAGAGGCUGAGGCAGGAGAGUUACUUGAACCUGGGAGGCGGAGGUUGCAGUGAGCCAAGAUCGCGCCACUGCACUCCAGCCUGGGCAACAGAGUGAGAUUCUGUCUCAACACAAAAAAGAAGACAUGUGUCCCCAUCACAGUAUCAUACAGAGUGCUUCCACUGCCCUAAAAUACCCUGUGCUCUUCCUAUUCAUCCCUCUCUUCAACCCCAGCAACCACUGAUCCUUUUACCAUCUCCAUGGUUUUGCCUUUCCCAGAAUGUCAUAUUGUUGGAAUCAUACGCUAUGUAGCCUUUGCAAAUGGGCUUCUUUCACCGAGCAAUGUGCAUUGAAGGUGCCUCUAUGACUUUUCAAGGGUUGAUAGCUCAUUCCUUUUUAUUGCUAAAUAAUAUUCCAUUGUCUGAAUGUACCACAUUUUGUUUAUCCAUUCACCUACUAAAGGACAUCUUGGUUGCUUCCAAGUUUGGGCAAUUAUAAAUAAAACUGCUAUAAACAUUGUGUGCAGGUUUUUUUUUCUAGAUGUCAGUUUUUAACUCAUUUGGACUAUAGAGCACUAUUGCUGGAUCAUAUGAUACGUGUGUGUUUAGUUUUAUGAGAAACUGCCAAACUGUCUUCCAAAGUGGCUGCACCAUUUUGCAUUCCCACCGUCAAUGAAUGAGAGCUCCGGUUGUUCCACAUCCUCACCAGCAUUUGGUGUUGUCAUUGUUUUGGAUUUUAGCCAUUUCAUAGGUGUGUAGAGGUAGCUCAUUGUUUUAAUCUAAUAAACAUCUUAUUGAAGAAUAACACACAAGCAGAAAAUUUCAGAGAUACAAACGAACAGCUUUUUCAACCAUCACCCACUGGAUACAGUUCUGUAUCCAGCACCCAGGCCAAGAAACUGACACUAACGGUGCCCUGUGCCCCCCUCAGGACCUAGAUCCACUUCCAAUAAUUCAGGCUUGUCUUAGGAAAUUUGCCUCAGAAAAAUAGAGAGAGAGAGAAGUCAAAAGACAGACAAUCUCACAGAACAAACGAAUGAAGAAAUGAAUGAAGAAUAACAAUGUAGAAAUUUAAGCUCUUUAUGUGUGCACUUAUUACUACAAAUUCUAGUAAUUCUGGAAGCAGAUGUUAUUUACACAGAAAUAAAAACAGAGGCAUGCUGAUUCCGUUUGACAACAAUGGGACCCUCUGAGGCAAUGGAUUCAUUUAUUUGUAUGAAGGCUGAUCUGAUAAAAUGAUUCCCCAGAGCCACGCACAGGAUAAGAAUUUGGAGUUGCUGGUGCUCCUUUGGCAUCUGGCCAGGACUUCCUUGCCCUAUGUCACUGGAUGGGGGCAGCCAUCCAGCCCAACACCCAGCCCGCCAUGGGAUGGUCUUGUCCUGGCCCCUCGCCUUCAUCUGUUCUUUU
rnacentral:lncRNA from 10 species